AAGGAGAUGAGAUGGGCCGUGACGGUCUGCUGCACUUCUGUGACUGCAAAAAUCUCUUUGCUCACCAGAAAUGUCUUUUAACUUGGAUACAAAAGAGUCUUCAUAAUGAAAAUGUUCCAACUUGCAAAGUAUGUACAGCUGAGUAUCAACUUGAGAAAAAGUCACCCUGGAGACUUCUGGCGACACAGUGGCAUCAGUGGGUCAUCUUCUGCACAGUCCUGGGUCUCAUGAUCAGCACUCCAUUCCUGGUGUACCAGUUGAUCAUUGCAUUUAAGGAUCCUCCCCCAGGUCUACUUUUCAACAUAGCAGCCAUCUGUUUUGGAGCACUCACAGAGAUGCUUCUGACCAAGUGAGUGUGGAAAUAGAGUCUGUGUUUC
rnacentral:lncRNA from 1 species